AUCUCAUACGUCGGCAACAACAGCAAGCGUUGACGUAAUAUCAAUCGAAAGAGAAGCGUUGCAGUGGUACAGCGGACGGUUAUAUUUAAACAUGUGAAUACUUCAAUGGAAAGUAAUUGAUAUUUUAGAACUGUGUUCAUUUACUUUGAAAAUGUGCGUGAGAAGAUCAAAUACUGCAACCAUAGCAGAACCCAUCGGCCAGAAAGUCCUCACUGAUCCACAACACACCCAGCACUAAGGACCUGGAGAGUAAGAAAUAAUGACGUUAGGUUCAAUCCAGUUAUUGCCCUUCAUGUGGAUUGGAUGGAGUUUAAUUUGCUCAGAUUUUAGAUUCAGUUUUGGAGCACCUGCAAAACAAAGGGAAUACAAAUACACAAGUGCUCAACUUUCAAGGCCAUGUUGGGAGACAGAAGAGUUCACAGUGCAGCAGGAAUGUUUUGAAUGCUCAGAUUAUCAAAAGAAAACAGAAUUGGAAUGCAAGAUUUCUGGAUUUGUUGAAAAAAUCAAGUGCAAGUUGGGUCAAGAUGAAUACAGAAAUAUUUGUUUUCUUUUGUAGUUGCCGUUCUGUGUCAGCAGAGGAGCUCAAAUUUUGGAAAUUUGAAGGCUGUGUACUUUCUUUGGGUAUGAUCUUUGCUUUUAUUGUCCUCAUCCGACAGCGGGCUUUGGACAGACGAGCAGAAAACAAAGUCAGGCGUCAAAUUGAAGGAAUCUGAGAAUGUCUACUGGUUUGUAGUUUUGCUGUUUUUACUUUCAAAUAUGGUUUUGUCCUCAUAUAUGUUGAUUUAAUUGCCAUAUAACUAUGGUAUAUGAAGAACUUAAUAUACAGUGUCUAUGGAAAACAUUUCAGUUCCUGACUACUAUUUCAGUUUAGCCCACUAAACAGAAAUGUUAUUUCAUGUGUGCUUUAAAGUUUUAUCUGUUAUAAUAUUUUUGUUAAUAAAAAUAUAAAUAGUGUAGUUCUUUGCUAUUUUUAUAAUGUAAAUGGAUACAUGGUAUGCAGUUUUCCACAUAUACAGAAUAUAAUUUCAGGGUUAGUUUGGGCACUGUUUGCUUGGCUAAAAUGCCUGAUGGCUAGAGAAACUAAAGAAACUAAAUCAAAAAUGUAACUUAUUUAGAACUGUUUUUCUUGCUUCUAAAAUAAUUGUACUGUGACAAUGGAUAAUGGUGAAAGUUUUCAUCAAAAAUGUAAACCUGAUAUAAUCAGCUCAAUCAGUAUAUUAACACUUUUGUGCUUUACUCCUACAUAUUCAGGAACAAAAUUAGAUUUAUGAGGAAUAAACACCAUAAAGAAAAUACUUUAAAUAAUAGAUUAUUUAAAUUCUUUUUUUCUACAAUCAUGUAGUGUAAGCAAGAUAAAGAGAACAAUGGAGCUCAGACACCUUUUGCAUCCAGUUACAACCAUGUCAGUUACUGCUUGUGAAGCAAUGUGGUAUGCUAAUGUCCCUUGGCUUUAGAAUGUUACUAUGCUAUUUGUUAGCUUAAUUACUGGGGAAAAAAAGUAACUAAUACACAUUACAAGUUCAUGUAGUAACAAAGACAGAAUAAAGAACAUUCUAAAAAAGUGACUUGAAUGUAUGACCCUUAUUGUCACUGUGAGAAAUACUACAAGGGAAAAUUACUGCAUUUUUCUUUUUAGACUAAGGAAUUCUGCCUGAGGGAGAGGGAAAAAAAAGAAAAAUUUCACUAGUUGUAUGCAUUAGUCAAAUUUAUUUUAUUUUAGCACUUAACUGGAAAAUUACAUUCAAAUUAGCUUUGAUUUUGUGGAAGAUGAACUGUAGUGUUUCCAAUCAUUGAAACUGUACAUCGUAUUUCUUGCUGUGAGGUAUCUUUGCUUGCCUGUUUUUUUUUUAUAUUUUUGAGAGGUUUUUUUUGUUGGAUCUAAAAUGUUGUAAGCAUAAACAAUAAUGCAAAUAAGACAGUUAAGAUUAUUUAACAUGUGAAUGUCAAUAAGGUAUUUAGAUAAUCAUUUCCUUGCCUUAACUCCCAUUUGUUUUUUUCAGAAUAAACACUGUAUUGUCUGAUCCUAAAUAUGGAAAGAAAAAGAAAAAUAGUAAAGAGAACUUUACAGUGAUUGGCUUUAUUUAUUUGAAAUAUAUAUAUUUUUGCAAAUAAUCAAAUUACUUUUGAGCAGUAAUCUGACUUUGUAUAUAACACUAACUAAACAGAUAACAGAGAUCAUUUAAAAUAGUUUAUGGUGUGAUAGCACUAAUUCAGGAAAGGAUUUUCCUACAAGCAACUUUUGUUUUACCUUAGAAAAUAUUUAUGUUACUAUUGCCUUUAAUAUUUUAAUUAAGGAUACCCUAACAUUUUGAAUGUGUUUUCUGGUAUGCACAAUGUGUUUAAAACUGUGUUUUAAUAUCCUACAAUGUGAAAUGAGAGAAUUGCUUCAUAAUGUUUCAUUUGAUGCUGUGUAGUUGGCUACACACACUUGGCAGAUUAAUGUUUAUAUCACCACCCCAUUUUGUUAAUUUCCUUCUUGACAACAUUAAAAAUGUGAUUUUUUUUUUAACAUUAAAAAGCUUUUUUUGGUCACUGAUAGCUUUAAUGGACUGCUGAACAUGUGAUAUUUAUACUGUUGGGCCUCUCAGGAUGCUAAGCUUUGGUCUUUUGAGGGUCACAGAACCUAUUGUUUGUUUCUCGGCUAAUUUCUCCAUUAGCACUAAAACUGUAGCAUAAUUAGACUUAAUAUUCCUAUUUCAAUUGGCUUUCAAAUUUCUGUUUUUAUCAUUUUAAUGUAUCAAAAGCCUGUAUUAUUUUAAACAACUUUGUCAGAGAAUUAUAGAUGGACAAGGCAAUUUAUAAUGCACUGACUGACAUUGAUGUUUUUUCAUUUGCAUUUAGUCUUCUUUACUGGUCACAAAGUUAUCCUACUGUAGUAGAUUAAAAGGUAUUGUCAUGCAAGCCAGUGUGUGCACGUGCCUGCAUGGUUAUGUACGUGUACCUUACAAUGGAGUGGAGUCUCAUCCCAUAUUGACUGUAGAAUUUCAGCUCUGUAUACAGUUUGGUAUUGCUUAUAUUAAAGUUUAGAUGUUAGUGUGCAUAUUGUUAACAGUAGGCCUUAGCUCAGGUGAAAUUAUAUUACCUAGUCAGUAAUUUUUUGCACAACAACUUCUGUUGUAGACUCAUUAUGAAGGAAACUUGCAGGAUCAUACAGUGAGGCCAUAAUAAAAUAUCAUCCAGUGACCCUGUGGUUACAAGCAGGAAAGCAAAACUUGCUACACUCUAACCCGUAAGAAAACAAAGCUGCUGAUUUCUGCUGUUAAAUUGCAUGGGUGUUACAGAUGAUGUUGUAGGCAGUAGGGAAAACCAUAUAAAUGUCUGUGGAAUACUGCAGCCUAAAUUCUGCAUUUAACUUUUAUUAAGUUGCUAUAAUGGGCUCUUCUUCUCAACCAAUACCAGUGACUGAAAUCUUUUUUCUUUAGUUUCAUUCUAAUCAGUAUCAGAUGAUUCUAUAAUAUAUUAUUGUAAAUAAUUCAGUUAAAUAUUUGAAAAUGUAUGUAUUAUUUGU